rnacentral:tRNA from 1 species
ACCUGAGUAGCUCAGUAGGUUGAGUGUCUGACUUCAGCUCAGGUCAUGAUCUCAUAGCUUGUGGGUUUGAGUCCCGCAUCAGGCU